rnacentral:rRNA from 1 species
AGAACGAACGCUGGCGGCAGGCUUAACACAUGCAAGUCGAGCGCCCCGCGAGGGGAGCGGCAGACGGGUGAGUAACGCGUGGGGAUGUACCCAGAGGUGCGGAAUAACUCAGGGAAACUUGAGCUAAUACCGCAUGAGCCCGAGAGGGGAAAGAUUUAUCGCCUUUGGAUCAACCCGCGUCAGAUUAGCUAGUUGGUAGGGUAAUGGCCUACCAAGGCGACGAUCUGUAGCUGGUCUGAGAGGAUGAUCAGCCACACUGGGACUGAGACACGGCCCAGACUCCUACGGGAGGCAGCAGUGGGGAAUAUUGGACAAUGGGCGCAAGCCUGAUCCAGCCAUGCCGCGUGAGUGAUGACGGCCUUAGGGUUGUAAAGCUCUUUCGCACGCGACGAUAAUGACGGUAGCGUGGGAAGAAGCCCCGGCUAACUUCGUGCCAGCAGCCGC